rnacentral:rRNA from 1 species
UACGUAGGGGGCAAGCGUUGUCCGGAUUUAUUGGGCGUAAAGAGCGUGUAGGCGGCCAGACAGGUCUGCUGUGAAAACUCGAGGCUCAACCUCGAGACGCCGGUGGAAACCGUCUGGCUAGAGUCCGGAAGAGGAGAGUGGAAUUCCUGGUGUAGCGGUGAAAUGCGCAGAUAUCAGGAGGAACACCUGUGGCGAAAGCGGCGCACUGGACCACAACUGACGCUGAGGCGCGAAAGCUAGGGGAGCAAACAGG